AUGGCUUCUCUCGACGGGAUCAACUGUGCUCUCAUUGCCCUGCUCCCGAAGAAGGAUGGCGUGCCGGGCCCCGGCGAUUUCCGUCCUGUUUCGCUUCAGAACGGGGGUGUGAAAAUCAUCUGUCGGGGGUUGACCUCUCGGCUCCAAUCGCAGAUCGGGGCUAUCAUCGAUGAGGACCAGUCUGGGUUCCUGUCCGGGCGCAGCAUCUCGGAGAACUUUGUGUAUGCGGUUGAGCUGCUGCAGUGCUGCCGUCGGCGGGGGGCUCCCACGCUUGUGUUCAAGCUGGACUUCGCUAAGGCGUUCGACUCCAUCGCAUGGCCGAGCCUUCGCCGGAUCAUGGAGGUUCGGGGGUUCCCGGCUCUCUGGUGUGACUGGAUGGACCUCAUUCUCCGUUCCUCCAAGGCCGCGGUCCUUCUCAACGGCGUGCCGGGGCGCUGGUUUGCGGUCCGGAACGGGCUGAGUCAGGGGGAUCCCAUCUCCCCUUACCUGUUCCUCCUGGUCGCGGACGUCCUCCAGCGCAUGAUCAGGAGCGACGGGGCUCUUUGUCACCCUCUGGUGGAUGGGGCGCCGGCGGUGGUCCUCCAGUACGCGGAUGAUACUCUGAUCAUCAUGCGUGCUGAUCCCGCAGCGGCUGCUCGGCUUCGGGUCAUCCUCGACCUCUUCGCGGCGGCUACUGGCCUCAUCAUCAACUUCGCCAAAAGCACGCUCGUGCCGAUGAACGUUAAGAGUGGGGUCCUCGACUCCGUCCUGGCGUCCUUCGAGUGCACUGUGGGGGCCUUCCCACAAUCGUACCUUGGCUUGCCUCUCUCAUCCGACAAGCUCAAGCUAGAAGACUUUGCCCCCAUGCUCGCUAAGGUAGACCGUUACCUGGCCGGGUGGCGGGCGUGGCUGCUCUCGCCGGCGGGCAAUUGGUGUUGA
rnacentral:rRNA from 1 species